UACGUAGGGGGCAAGCGUUGUCCGGAUUUAUUGGGCGUAAAGAGCGUGUAGGCGGCUUUACAGGUCCGUUAUGAAAACUCGAGGCUCAACCCUGGAAUGCCGGUGGAUACUGUCGAGCUAGAGUCCGGAAGGGGCGAGUGGAAUUCCUGGUGUAGCGGUGAAAUGCGCAGAUAUCAGGAGGAACACCAAUGGCGAAGGCAGCUCGCUGGGACGUGACUGACGCUGAGACGCGAAAGCGUGGGGAGCAAACAGG
rnacentral:rRNA from 1 species